rnacentral:rRNA from 1 species
ACUGAAGUUAACACAUUAAGUACUCCGCCUGAGUAGUACGUACGCAAGUAUGAAACUUAAAGGAAUUGACGGGAUCCCGCACAAGCGGUGGAUCAUGUUGUUUAAUUCGAAGAUACACGAAAAACCUUACCAGGUCUUGACAUUAUCCUGCGAAGCUAUAGAAAUAUAGGGGAGGUUAUCAGGAUAACAGGUGGUGCAUGGUUGUCGUCAGCUCGUGUCGUGAGAUGUUAGGUUAAGUCCUAAAACGAGCGCAACCCUUGUCGUUAGUUACCAGCACGUUAUGGUGGGGACUUUAGCGAGACUGCCAAUGAAAAAAUUGGAGGAAGGUGAGGAUUACGUCAAAUCAUCAUGCCCCUUAUGAUCUGGGCUACAAACGUGAUACAAUGGCUAUUACAAAGAGCAGCUGAAACGUGAGUUGUUAGCUAAUCUCAAAAAAAUAGUCUCAGUUCGGAUUGAAGUCUGCAACUCGACUUCAUGAAGUUGGAAUCGCUAGUAAUCGCGAAUCAGCAUGUCGCGGUGAAUACGUUCUCGGGGUUUGUACACACCGCCCGUCAAACCAUGAAAGUUGACAAUACCCAAAACCAGUCGCUUAACUACUUCGGUAGAGGGAGCUGUCUAAGGUAGGGUCGAUGAUUGGGGUUAAGUCGUAACAAGGUAUCCCUACCGGAAGGUGGGGAUGGAUCACCUCCUUUCUAAGGAAAUGUCGUAUCAUGAUCAUCUUCAGUUUUGAAAGACUUAGAGUAGAUAAGUUUUUCUUUUGGCGUAGAGGAAGGGCCUAUAGCUCAGUUGGUAGAGCACACGCUUGAUAAGCGUGC